rnacentral:tRNA from 1 species
GGGUAUGUACCUCAGUGGUAGAGCAUGUGCUUACCAUGCAUUAGGGUCUGGGUCCAAUCCCCAACAUACACA